rnacentral:tRNA from 1 species
UGGGCGCAUAACUCAGCUGGAUAGAGUAACGGAUUUCUAAUCCGUCUGUCGCAGGUUCGAGUCCUGCUGCGCCCGUCC